rnacentral:rRNA from 1 species
AAUUGACCUCGGAUCAGGUAGGGAUACCCGCUGAACUUAAGCAAU